rnacentral:rRNA from 1 species
GUCUACGGCUAUGCCACCCUGAACAUGCCCAAUCUUGUCUGAUCUUGGGAGCUAAGCAGGGUCAGGCCUGGUUAGCACUUGGAUGGGAGACCACCUAGGAAUACUAGGUGCUAUAGGCA